UACGGAGGGUGCGAGCGUUGUCCGGAAUCACUGGGCGUAAAGGGCGCGUAGGCGGCCUGAUAAGUAGGGGGUGAAAUCCUGCGGCUUAACCGCAGGGCUGCCUUCUAAACUGUCGGGCUAGAGCACGGUAGAGGCAGAUGGAAUUCCCGGUGUAGCGGUGGAAUGCGUAGAGAUCGGGAAGAACAUCAGUGGCGAAGGUCGGU
rnacentral:rRNA from 1 species